rnacentral:lncRNA from 1 species
CAGGACCCAGCUUUCCUCUGUGGGGUUGUAACCCAGAGGGCACUCUCCACCCUGAUCCUACAUGGCUCUAGAAUGAGUUUAUAUGUGAAAGGACUCUAGAAUAGCAAAAAUAGCUAAGUGCUGGCCAUGGGGGCCCAUGCCUGUAAUGAAGCAAGAGGUUCUCUGUGAGUUCAAGGGCUAUAUAACAAGACCUUGUCUCUCUCACACACACACACACACACACACACACACACACACACACACACACACACAAAUGCUAAAUAUUAACUACAUGUGGCUUAGGCCAAAUUUCUAUAACGUGUAAUUCUAUACGUUUUGUCAGCUGUAUUUCAGCAACCUCUGACUUAGGAAAGUGUUACACAUUUUGUAAGUUGAUAGGAAACAUUAACUGUGCUGCCUUGUGGUAGGAAGAACCAUGUGUAUAUAUACACCAAGGAGAUCAGAUUCCUUUGGCAAGGAAUUUCAGAAUGGAUUUUUCAACAGCAGUCAAGGAUAGGUCAGGGUUGACUGAUACCCAAUACUUAGUGUGUUGACCCAUAUCCAGUCUCCAGCACCUUCAUGCUGAGGUAUUGGGAGACAGUAAAAUCUUUCCCUUCAGAAACCAUGAAACUCCUGCUGUGUUCUGCAAGUCUACCAAAGAUUGUUGUGUGAAGAGUGUCAGCAUCUGUGUGAGUGAACAAUCACCCUCCUGCUUCCUUGUGGUGUUAACUCUAGCGCUUCCAGUUAAUCACCUAAAGAGGACUGGGGAGGGACCACAGGCAGUUAGCAUCAGUAACUCACUUCCCUUUAACCAAACCUCUGAUUUUAGCAUCAGAGUUGUUUGCAUCUGUGGUGAGGGAAUUGACUAGCCAUUGCUUCUGCCUCCUUCCCAAGGAACAGAAACCAAAUAACAGAGGCCAAGGACCAUGCGUAUUUCGAGGAGGGAAGGUGAGCACCCUCUGCUGGCAGUGUUUGGAGUUGACUGACUGAGGAUCUGUGCGCAGCCUGGAAGGAGUGCUGGCUGAAGUCAGCAGGCCUCGGGAAUCCUUAACAUGCAAACAAUCUUGGGGAAACCAGAAGGUCUUUCCUGGCAGUUUUUGUAAUACCUCUCAUUGCAGGCUGUUGGAUUUAUGUUGUUCACUCUGGGUGUGAUCUUUCUUAUGUAUCUGAUAGUUUUUAUGGAUAAUUGUUUGGGUUGUAAACUCCCAUACUCUUUAUUAAAAUGAACC